GUCCACGCCGUAAACGAUGAGUGCUAGGUGUUGGGUCCUUUCCGGGACUCAGUGCCGCAGCUAACGCAUUAAGCACUCCGCCUGGGGAGUACGACCGCAAGGUUGAAACUCAAAGGAAUUGACGGGGGGCCCGCACAAGCGGUGGAGCAUGUGGUUUAAUUCGAAGCAACGCGAAGAACCUUACCAGGUCUUGACAUCCCUCUGACCGCUCUAGAGAUAGAGUUUUCCUUCGGGACAGAGGUGACAGGUGGUGCAUGGUUGUCGU
rnacentral:rRNA from 1 species